GCCAGACACAAUGUUGCAUGCAUGUAGACCCAGCUUCUCAGAUGGCUGAGGCAGGAGGAUCCCUGGAGUUCAGGAGUUCUGGGCUAUAGUGCACUAUGCUGAUCAGGUGUCUGUACUGUUAUGCAUCAAUAUGGUGACUUCCUGGGAAGAAGGGACCACCACGUUGCCUCAGGAGAGGUGAAGCAGCUCAGGUUGGAAACAGGGCAGGUCAAAACUCCUGUGCUGAUCAGUAGUGGGAUUGCACAUAUCGAUACCACUGCACGCCCGUCUAUGCAAUGUAGAGAGGCCUAUUCUCUUU
rnacentral:SRP_RNA from 10 species